rnacentral:rRNA from 1 species
GACGAACGCUGGCGGCGUGCUUAACACAUGCAAGUCGAACGGAAAGGCCCUGCUUUUGUGGGGUGCUCGAGUGGCGAACGGGUGAGUAACACGUGAGUAACCUGCCCUUGACUUUGGGAUAACUUCAGGAAACUGGGGCUAAUACCGGAUAGGAGCUCCUGCUGCAUGGUGGGGGUUCGAAAGUUUCGGCGGUUGGGGAUGGACUCGCGGCUUAUCAGCUUGUUGGUGGGGUAGUGGCUUACCAAGGCUUUGACGGGUAGCCGGCCUGAGAGGGUGACCGGCCACAUUGGGACUGAGAUACGGACCAGACUCCUACGGGAGGCAGCAGUGGGGAAUAUUGCACAAUGGGCGGAAGCCUGAUGCAGCAACGCCGCGUGCGGGAUGACGGCCUUCGGGUUGUAAACCGCUUUCGCCUGUGACGAAGCGUGAGUGACGGUAAUGGGUAAAGAAGCACCGGCUAACUACGUG